GCAAGUCGAACGGAAACGAUGAGAGCCUGCUCUCAGGCGUCGAGUGGCGGACGGGUGAGUAAUACUUAGGAAUCUGCCCAAUAGUGGGGGACAACUCGAGGAAACUCGAGCUAAUACCGCAUACGACCUACGGGUGAAAGUGGAGGAUCUUCGGACUUCACGCUAUUGGAUGAGCCUAAGUCGGAUUAGCUUGUUGGUGGGGUAAAGGCCUACCAAGGCGACGAUCCGUAGCUGGUCUGAGAGGACGAUC
rnacentral:rRNA from 1 species